rnacentral:rRNA from 1 species
AGCAGCCGCGGUAAUUCCAGCUCCAAUAGCGUAUAUUAAAGUUGUUGCAGUUAAAAAGCUCGUAGUUGAAUUUCGGGGUUAGUAGGUUGGUCAUGCCUCUGGUAUGUACUGGUCUCACUGAUUCCUCCUUCCUGAUGAACCUUAAUGCCAUUUAUUUGGUGUUUUGGGGAAUUUGGACUGUUACUUUGAAAAAAUUAGAGUGUUUAAAGCAAGCUAACGCUUGAAUACAUUAGCAUGGAAUAAUGAAAUAGGACGUUCGAUCCUAUUUUGUUGGUUUCUAGGAUUGACGUAAUGAUUAAUAGGGAUAGUUGGGGGCAUUAGUAUUCAAUUGUCAGAGGUGAAAUUCUUGGAUUUAUUGAAGACUAACUACUGCGAAAGCAUUUGCCAAGGAUGUUUUCAUUAAUCAAGAACGAAGUUAGGGAUCGAAGACGAUCAGGUACCGUCGUAGUCUUAACCAUAAACUAUGCCGACUAGGGAUCGGAUGAUGUUAAUUUUUAAUGUACUCAUUCGGCGCCUUACG